GACGAACGCUGGCGGCGUGCUUAACACAUGCAAGUCGAACGGAAAGGCCCUGCUUUUGUGGGGUGCUCGAGUGGCGAACGGGUGAGUAACACGUGACUAACCUGCCCUUUACUUUUGGAUAACUUCAGGAAACUGGGGCUAAUACCGGAUAGGAUCGCCUUCUGCAUGGUGGGGUUAGGCAAGUUUCGGCGGUUGGGGAUGGACUCGCGGCUUAUCAGCUUGUUGGUGGGGGAGUGGCUUACCAAGGCUUUGACGGGUAGCCGGCCUGAGAGGGUGACCGGCCACAUUGGGACCGAGAUACGGCCCAGACUCCUACGGGAGGCAGCAGUGGGGAAUAUUGCACAAUGGGCGGAAGCCUGAUGCAGCAACGCCGCGUGCGGGAUGACGGCCUUCGGGUUGUAAACCGCUUUCGCCUGUGACGAAGCGUGAGUGGCGGUAAUGGGUAAAGAAGCACCGGCUAACUACGUG
rnacentral:rRNA from 1 species